rnacentral:rRNA from 1 species
GACGAACGCUGGCGGCGUGCCUAAUACAUGCAAGUAGAACGCACAGUUUAUACCGUAGCUUGCUACACCAUAGACUGUGAGUUGCGAACGGGUGAGUAACGCGUAGGUAACCUGCCUGGUAGCGGGGGGUAACUAUUGGAAACGAUAGCUAAUACCGCAUAAUAUUGAUUAUUGCAUGAUAAUUGAUUGAAAGAUGCUAUUGCAUCACUACCAGAUGGACCUGCGUUGUAUUAGCUAGUAGGUGAGGUAACGGCUCACCUAGGCGACGAUACAUAGCCGACCUGAGAGGGUGAUCGGCCACACUGGGACUGAGACACGGCCCAGACUCCUACGGGAGGCAGCAGUAGGGAAUCUUCGGCAAUGGACGAAAGUCUGACCGAGCCACGCCGCGUGAGUGAAGAAGGUUGUCGGAUCGUAAAGCUCUGUUGUAAGAGAAGAACGGGUGUGAGAGUGGAAAGUUCACACUGUGACGGUAGCUUACCAGAAAGAGACGGCUAACUACGUG